AUCCAGCUGACAAAUUCCAAAUAGAACGAAACGCGCGUUAAACUGGAU
rfam:Schistosoma rodhaini strain Burundi genome assembly, scaffold: SROB_scaffold0002110